rnacentral:tRNA from 1 species
GAGACCUUAGUUUAAUGGUAAAAUUCUAGACUUUUAAUCUAUGAUAUGUGGGUUCGAAUCCCGCAGGUCUUA